rnacentral:rRNA from 1 species
GAUGAACGCUGGCGGCGUGCCUAAUACAUGCAAGUCGAGCGAACGGACGAGAAGCUUGCUUCUCUGAUGUUAGCGGCGGACGGGUGAGUAACACGUGGAUAACCUACCUAUAAGACUGGGAUAACUUCGGGAAACCGGAGCUAAUACCGGAUGAUAUUUUGAACCGCAUGGUUCAAAAGUGAAAGACGGUCUUGCUGUCACUUAUAGAUGGAUCCGCGCUGCAUUAGCUAGUUGGUAAGGUAACGGCUUACCAAGGCAACGAUGCAUAGCCGACCUGAGAGGGUGAUCGGCCACACUGGAACUGAGACACGGUCCAGACUCCUACGGGAGGCAGCAGUAGGGAAUCUUCCGCAAUGGGCGAAAGCCUGACGGAGCAACGCCGCGUGAGUGAUGAAGGUCUUCGGAUCGUAAAACUCUGUUAUUAGGGAAGAACAUAUGUGUAAGUAACUGUGCACAUCUUGAAGGUACCUAAUCAGAAAGCCACGGCUAACUACGUG